UCCCUGGAGGACUGGUGGUUUGGCCUUGGUGCUCUCAGCGCCGCGGCCCAGGUUCGAUUCCCGGCUAGAGAA